rnacentral:rRNA from 1 species
UGGGGAAUAUUGCACAAUGGGCGCAAGCCUGAUGCAGCCAUGCCGCGUGUAUGAAGAAGGCCUUCGGGUUGUAAAGUACUUUCAGCGAGGAGGAAGGCGUUGUGGUUAAUAACCGCAACGAUUGACGUUACUCGCAGAAGAAGCACCGGCUAACUCCGUGCCAGCAGCCGCGGUAAUACGGAGGGUGCAAGCGUUAAUCGGAAUUACUGGGCGAAAAGCGCACGCAGGCGGUCUGUCAAGUCGGAUGUGAAAGCCACGGGCUCAACCUGGGAACUGCAUCCGAAACUGGCAGGCUAGAGUCUUGUAGAGGGGGGUAGAAUUCCAGGUGUAGGGGUGAAAUGCGUAGAGAUCUGGAUGAAUACCGGUGGCGAAGGCGUCCCCCUGGACAAAGACUGACGCUCAGGUGCGAAAGCGUGGGGAGCAAACA